rnacentral:rRNA from 1 species
UACGUAGGGGGCGAGCGUUGUCCGCAGUUACUUGGCGUAAAGCGCGCGUAGGCGGGUUGGCAAGUCUGCUGUGAAAGCCCGGGGCUUAACUCCGGAGGGUCGGUGGAUACUGCCAGUCUUGAAGGUGGUAGGGAGAGAUGGAAUUACCGGUGUAGCGGUGAAAUGCGUAGAUAUCGGUAGGAACACCAGUGGCGAAGGCGGUCUCUUGGGGCAUUCUUGACGCUGAGGCGCGAAAGCUGGGGGAGCGAACGGG